rnacentral:rRNA from 1 species
AACGCGAAGAACCUUACCUGGGCUCGAAAUGUAGAGGAAUAUAUCAGAGAUGAUAUAGCUCGAAAGGGUCUUUAUAUAGGUGCUGCAUGGCUGUCGUCAGCUCGUGCCGUGAGGUGUUUGGUUAAGUCCAGCAACGAGCGCAACCCUUAUCGUUAGUUGCCAGCGCGUAAUGGCGGGAACUCUAACGAGACUGCCUGGGUUAACCAGGAGGAAGGUGAGGAUGACGUCAAGUCCGCAUGGCCUUUAUGUCCAGGGCUACACACGUGCUACAAUGGUCGGUACAGAAGGCAGCGAAACCGCAAGGUGGAGCAAAUCCUACAAAACCGAUCUCAGUUCAGAUUGUAGUCUGCAACUCGGCUACAUGAAGUUGGAAUUGCUAGUAAUGGCGUGUCAGCAACAACGCCGUGAAUACGUUCCCGGGCCUUGUACACACCGGUAUCUC